CUUGAAUAAAAUAAGAGGUCCAGCCUGCCCAGUGAAAUUAUUCAACGGCCGCGGUAUCCUAACCGUGCGAAGGUAGCGUAAUCACUUGUUCUUUAAAUGAGGACUAGUAUGAAUGGCACCACGAGGGUUCUACUGUCUCCUUUUUUUAAUCAGUGAAACUAAUCUCCCCGUGAAGAAGCGGGGAUCUUUAUAUAAGACGAGAAGACCCUAUGGAGCUUUAAACAACCAACAUUUGCUACACCACAACAUUUUACCUAAAAGAAAUAUAGCAUUAUGAUUAUUAGUUUUCGAUUGGGGUGAUCACGGAGUAAAAUAUAACCUCCAUGCCGAAAGGGUUCUUACCCUGAGCAAAAAGCCACAACUUUAAGCACUAAAAAAUUAACGCAGUUUGACCCAAUAUUUUGAUCAACGAAC
rnacentral:rRNA from 1 species